rnacentral:misc_RNA from 1 species
AAGUCGUAACAAGGUUUCCGUAGGUGAACCUGCGGAAGGAUCAUUAUCGAGAAGUCACAUGUGUGGCCUUCCCCCCUCUUGUGAAUGAAAACUGUGCACUGUGUGCUGCUCAUAUAAAACUUUCAACAACGGAUCUCUUGGCUCCG